UGCAAUUUAUGUAGUGUUAUGUGUAGUGUAUAUUGUGUAUUUUGUGUAUUAUGUGUAAUUUAUACAGUGUUACAGUAUGUGUGUGCAUUAUAUGUAUUUUGUAUAAUAUUUAUGUGUGUACGGUGCGUUUAUUCUAUGUAUAGUGUGUAGUGUGUUUAGCGUUUGUAUUUUGUGUAGUGUGUGUGCGUUACAGUGUGUAUCUGUGUUUUGUGUAUAAUUUGUGUAUUAGGUGCAAUUAAUGUAUAGUGUGCGUAUUUUGUAUAGUGUUUAUAUAUAUUCACAAUGUGUGUAUUUUAUGUAGUGUGUGUUUUGUGUAGUGUGUCCAAUGUGUGUAUUUUGUGUAAAAUGUGUGUUAAUACUUUGCGUAUAGUUCGAGUAUUAUGUACAAUAUACUCCCUCUGUCCCAUUAGAAAUGAAACAUUUUCCUUUUCGGUCUGUCCCAUUAAAAAUGAAACGUUUCUAAACAUGGAAACAAUACUCUCUCUACUUUUUCUUCUCUCUUAUUUUACUCUCUCUUCAUUAACUCACAAAACAACACUACAUAAAAUCUCGUGCCGAAAAGCAAAUGUUGCAUAUUGGGACGGAGGGAGUAUAUAUUAUGUGUUGAGUGUACGCGCAAUGCACACAUGUUAUCCCAGCUAGCCGUAUUCUUGCCAAGUCUCUUUUCUCAGCCCUCUUACAAUCACUCCUCUUGAGGGAAAAUAAAAUCAAACUCGGGGGAGAAAGAUUUGGUUCUGCUUUCGGAUAGAAGUGUAGUGACAGUUCCCACACAAGACCUACCAACCAAUCCUCAGAUACAUGACUAAGUUGAUGAUCUUCCACAACUAAGUUAUUUGAUCGAGCCUUUAGUUCUUCACAAUCUUAAGUAUAGAUAGCAUAACUAGUCGGCCUUACUACCAAAUCUGAGAAUGAAUGGAACUUUAGAUUCAAGUCACAUACAAGAUGAGCAUAAUACUCUAACAUCGUAAAAUAACUAUUCAGCAAAAUCGGCCUAAAAUUGAAACUUAGCUCUUGCCGACGAAGGCGACAACGAGCCAGACAUCGAUGGGCUGAGCCUGCGCUGAGUACCGAAAGGGGGGGAAUGACUUGGGUCGGCGUCGACCGAACGACGUAAAUCAUUACCGAACGGACGAUGCGGCUGUAGAGCCGGCAACAGAGGACGACGCGGCGGAAGAGACUAUCGCAGGCGGCUGGAUUGGGCCGACGGACUUGGGGAGUAUUUUAUGCCAGUGCAAUUUUUAUUCGGCCACUACAAAUAAAUUCCUUUUGGGCCAUGAAUUAAAUUUAGUUUCGGGCCUGCUUUUAGUUCCUUGGGCCGCCGAAUUAAAUGUUAUUGGGCCGUAGUCUCUCUUAUUUGGAUUGGACCGUGAUAAAAAAAAAAGGAAAAGAAAUAGUCACGUUAACACCAUGUCAAAUAAAUGAUUAAAUUGGACUUAUAUUUAUUUUUAAGCAAAGUAAGUAUUUUUAAGUUAAUUAAGUAUAUAAAUCCAAGAGGAUUUAAAUUUGAAAAUGGACUUCUGAUAAUCACGAGCCACUAAUUAAAACAUCAAAUUUGAUUUAUAGACCCUCCUAAUGUCUUGCCAAAAUUAAAUAAUGGAUAGCCGCUAUUUAAUUUCGCGGAAAUAAUGUUAAGAUGUUUAUAAUUUAACCAGUGCACGAAUAAUACGGCGAAUGCCCAAAUAAUUAAAUCAUUUGAUUUAAUUAAUGAUUAAAGAUUUUAUGGAUUUAGGAAGAAAGGAAAUAAAGAUGAUCACAUGCUUAGGAAUGCAUACAUGCUAGAAAUAAUUACUUAGGUCUAAUUUAAGUAUUAUUUGUUUAUAAAGGGACGUCGUCGCAAGACAAGUAAAAGCAAGUCGAGGAACGCUCGUUUGAGAAUUUAAGCACAGGAGGUGGGUUUUUCUUUCAACAUGUGAUUUUAUGUGAAAACGUGAAUAUAUUUUUUUGAAUGAGUGUCAUGCCACGUUUGUUUUAUGAUUACCUAUCUGUUGGCUAUGUCAAACAUGUUAAAUCGAAUUCGGGUCCCAGUAUGGCUGCAAACCCUACUCGGACUAGUGUACACAUAUUGGACUGUGUGCUAGCUUUUGAGUUGGCCGGUCCAGUGACCGUCGUGGAAUGUGGCCACAUUCCCGGUUCACAUAAGAUCAGAUAUGGUAUGUUAUGCUAUGUGACUGUGCAGUCAAGUUUAUGAAAUGAUAAAGGAUUUGGUGACACCGGGAAUUAUUUCAAAUAAAAUCCCGCGCUCACUUAACUAUGGCUGACAACUAAAUAAGAACUGUUUUUGGCACUAAGUCCACUGGGUAUAUCAAAUACUCAGUCUAGCAUGUUUAUUUUUCCAACGUGCAGGUUGAUCGUGAUCGAAGCGAGAAGGUAUUGGGAGAGACUUAUAAAUAAGUAGCUAGGUAGCUAAUUUAAUAUGUCUCCUUACAUAUUACUUCGUCUUGGAACCUUCCGCUGCAUAUGAAUGUUGUUUAAGGGAAACUAUGUACCCAUUAUGAUACUCAGAUUUUGACAUAGCCUCGUACCCUCUUGCCUUCGGGUUUAAAUAUUUCUUUUUAUGAAGGUUUAUGAUUAUUGAAGUUAUUAUAGUUGCGAAUAUAACUAACUCACUGGCACUAGAGAGUUGUGGUCGUGACAGUUGCUAAUAUAAGAUUGACGACCUUAGUAUGUAAUCUACUUUGUGCUGCAUGGAUAAUAUUUAUGUGACUCGUUCUAGUUAAGCAUGAACUGUGCUAGGGUGUUGUAUUUGAAACUUGUAAAAACCAUAACUGUGAAAGCAUGUCCAUAGAAUUCUCUUCUCUCAUAUGUUUUCCUCAUGUGUUAAUCUGCAAUUGUUUAUUUGUUUUCUUUUAAAUUGCUUAUUUAUUGUUUUUCAACAUUCAAAACGUCCCUAAAUAGUGAAAGAAGCAUAGUCUUAGAUAGACAGUGACCAUAUUCCUUGUGUUUCAUAUCCAUGUGCGUACCCUUAGCUAUAUUAUAUUUGCCUUGUAUACUUACAGGUAGUUGUAGUGCUAAAAAAUAGUGCAUUAGCUCCUUUUUGACCAGUUGGUGAAGAUUGAGGAGAUCCUUGGCCCUGUGUAGUUGCAUGUGCAACCUAGCCAUAUUCCAAUCUUCUGAACUUCUCUUUUACUUGCUAGUUUUGUUACUGGUUCUUGCAUUUACUAACGUGUAUGCUUAAGUGUGCAGGGAUUUCAGGUGGUGAACAACUUGGAGUCGGAACCAGUUACGGUGUUUGACUAAAGCUAGGGUUUUUUCUUGUAUCUACAUCUUGUAUCUUGUUUCUAUCUUUUGUCCUUGGCCGGUUCAAUUGUGAGAUUGACCAUCUCACUAUUGCGGUGUAACAAAAGAGCUUUAAGUGUUUAGUGAAUCCCAUCAUUCUGGUUCCUACAUUAAUUAAAUUAACUAGAUAAGAGAAGUCUGAGGACUUAGCGGCCAGAAAGGUUGCCCAACGAGAACUCCUUGGCAGCGUGUCAUUUGCCUAAGGACCAAGAACUCUCUUACUUUACCAAUUUUAUCUUAAUUCUUGUGUCAUUACCCUUUACCCAAAUUUUUAUG